rnacentral:rRNA from 1 species
UACAGAGGAUGCAAGCGUUAUCCGGAAUGAUUGGGCGUAAAGCGUCCGCAGGUGGCUGUGUAAGUCUGCUGUCAAAGAGCGAAGCUCAACUUCGUAAAGGCAGUGGAAACUACACGGCUUGAGUACGUUCGGGGCAGAGGGAAUUCCUGGUGUAGCGGUGAAAUGCGUAGAGAUCAGGAAGAACACCGGUGGCGAAGGCGCUCUGCUAGGCCGUAACUGACACUGAGGGACGAAAGCUAGGGGAGCGAAUGGG